rnacentral:rRNA from 1 species
CAGUAGCCACGGUAAUACGUAGGGUGCGAGCGUUAAUCGGAAUUACUGGGCGUAAAGCGUGCGCAGGCGGUUCGUUAAGACAGAUGUGAAAUCCCCGGGCUUAACCUGGGAACUGCAUUUGUGACUGGCGAGCUAGAGUAUGGCAGAGGGGGGUAGAAUUCCACGUGUAGCAGUGAAAUGCGUAGAGAUGUGGAGGAAUACCGAUGGCGAAGGCCGCCCCCUGGGCCAAUACUGACGCUCAUGCACGAAAACGUGGGGAGCAAACAGGAUUAGAUACCCCGGUAGUCCCUGUCUCUUAUAC